rnacentral:lncRNA from 9 species
GGACCAUGAUAGGAAAAGCACCAUGUAUGUUUGUGUAAUACACAAAACACACACACAAACACACACUCCAUGUAUAUCAGGUUUAUGUGCGUGCAAUAGAAUUCAACCUUUUCAGCAAACAGUUCUAUGCACAGACUUGUGUAACAACCACCAUAAUCACAAUAUAGAAUAUUUUCAUCACCUUUCAAAUGUCCUUCAUACUUCCUCUUUGAAGUCAAUCCCAAACCCCUGACAACUACUGAUCUGUUUUCUGUACCUGUAGUUUGGUUUUAUCUAGAAUGUCCAUAAACGGAAUCAUACAGUAUGGACCCUUUGAGGCUUGGUUUCUUUCACUUACCAUAAUACAAGUGAGAUAGAUCCAUGUUGUGGUUGCAUGGAUCAGUAGCUCUUUCAUUUUUUAUUGCUGAGUAGUAUUCCUUUGUAUGCAUGAACCUAUAACAAUUUUCCAUUCAUGAGUUGAAGGAUAUAUAGGUUGUUUCGUUUUUGGUGAUUAUGAAUAAAGCUGCUGUAAACAUUCAUGUUACUGUAAGUUUUCUUUUCUCUUUAGUAAAUUACUAAAACUGACAUUGCUGGGACAUAUGGUAGGUGUAUGUGUGAAUGUAUAAGAAACUGCUAAAUAGUUUUUGAAAGUGGUUGGAUCAUUUUUUAUUCCCACUAGGAAUGUGAGAUGCUCUGUGUUCUUGUCAGCACUUAGUAGCGUCAGCUUUUAAAAUUUUAUCCACUCUAACAUGUGUAUUGUGGUAAUACACUAUAGGUUUUUUUUUGUUUGUUUGUUUGUUUUGUUCUUUUUUGUUGUUGACUUUUUUUUUUUUCUUUUUAGGUCUGCACUCGUGGCAUAUGGAGUUUCCCAGGCUAGGGGUCGAACUGGAGCUACAGCUGCCAGCCACAGCCACAGCAACACUGGAUCUGAGCCACAUCUGUGACCUACACCACAGCUCAUGGCAACGCUGGAUCCUUAACCCACUGAGCAAGGCCAGGGAUCAAACCUGCAACCUCAUAGUUCCUAAUCAGAUUUGUUUCCACUGUGCACAAUGGGAACUCCCACACUGUAAUGUAGUUUUAAUUUUACACUUUCUGUUGACUAAUGAUGUUCUUUUAAUGAGCUUAUAUAACAUCCUCCAAAAGACAUUUAUUGGUGAAAUGUGUGCUCAAUAUUUUGCCCACUUAAAAAAGUGGGUUAUGUCCUUCAAAUUGUGUUUUGAGAGUUUAAAAAUAUAUAUCUGGAUACAAAUCCCUUAUCAAAUAUAUAAUUUAAAAAUACUUUCUCCCAGUCUGUGAUAUGCUUUCUCAUUUUCUUAACAGAGUCUUGUGAAAACCAAAGUUUUAAACUUUGGCAAAGUCCACAAUUUACCAAUUUUUUUCCUUUAUAGAUCAUGCUUUUUGUAUUAUAAGAAUUCUUUGCUUAACCCAAAAUUAUAUGGAUUUUCCCCUAUGUUUUCCCAAAUAAAUUUAAAAAUUUACGUUUCACAUUUAUGUUAUAAUCUGUUUUGAGUUAAUUUUUUUCGUAAAUUGUGGGAGAUAUGGAUUGAGGUUCAUUUUUUUUUUUUUUGCCUAUGGAUAUUCAAUAGUUCCAACACAAUUUGUUGAAGAUAUUCUCCACUGAAUUAAUUUUGCAAUUUUGUCAAAAGUCAGUUGACCAUAAUGUGCAUGUUCAUUUCUGGACUUUCUAUUAUGUUCCAUUAAUUUCUGUAUCUUUUUUUUUUUUUUUUUUUUUUUUGCCAUUUCUAGGGCCACUCCCAGGCAUAUGGAGGCUCCAAGGCUAGGGGUCAAAUCGGAGCUGUAGCUGCCAGCCUACACCACAGCCACAGCAACACGGGAUCCGAACCGCAUCUGCAACCUACACCACAGCACACAGGCAACGCCAGAUCCUUAACCCACUUAGCAAGGCCAGGGAUCGAACCCACAACCCACAACCUUAGUCAGAUUCAUUAACCACUGAGCCAUGAUGGGAACUCCAUCUGUAUCUUUUCUUUCACCAACUUGAUUACAAUAGCCUUAUAGUAAGUGUUAAAAUCAGUUUAGUGUAAAUUCUCCAACACUUUUUUAUUUUUGAAAUUGUUUUUUGGCUAUUUUAGUUCCUUCACUUUUCCAUAGAAAUUUUAGUGUCAGUGUGUGAAUUUCUACAGCACAUCCUGGUAAGACUGAAUGAGAUUGUAUUAAGUUUAUAAGUCAACUUGGGGAGAACUAUACAUGGCAUAUCUCCCCAUUCAUUUAGGUCCUCUUUGUUUUGUCAUGUUCAGCAUAUAGAUCUCGUGCAUAUUCUGUUUGCUUUACACUUAAGCACUUCAUGCUUUUAGGUAUGAUUAAAAAUAGUACUUUUUUCAAUUUCAGUUGUUCAUUGCCAAUAUAUAAAAAAAUAUAUAUAAUUGAUUUUUAUAUACUAAUAGUGUAUCCUAUGCUCUUGCCAAACUCACUUAUUCUAGCUUUUGUUUGGGGGGUAGACUCUGGGAUUUUCUACAUUGACAAUCAUGUUUUCUGUAAGUAGAGACAGUUUUAUUUUUUUCCUUUUUGAUCUGUAUGCCUAGAUUUUGUAUAUGAUUUAAACUAUUUCACUUAGAACAUUUUUUCUUUCUUUCUUUCUUUCUUUUUUCUUUUUUUCUUUUUGCCAUUUCUUGGGCUGCUCCCGAGGCAUAUGGAAGUUCCCAGGCUAGGGGUCCAAUUGGAGCUGUAGCUGCUGGCCUAUGCCAGAGCCACAGCAACGCGGGAUGUGAGCCACGUCUGCAGCCUACACCAGGGUUCACGGCAACGCUGGAUCCUUAACCCACGAGUAAGGCCAGGGAACGAACCCGCAACGUCAUGGUUCCUAGUCAGAUUCUAACCACUGAGCCAUGACGGGAACUCCUAGAACAUUUUCUUCUUCUUUUUUUUUUUUUUCCCCCCGGAGCUGUAGCCACCAGCCUACGCCAGAGCCACAGCAACGCAGGAUCCAGCCACGUCUGCAACCUACACCACAGCUAACGGCAACGCCAGAUCGUUAACCCACUGAGCAAGGGCAGGGACGGAACCCACAACCUCAUGGUUCCUAGUCAGAUUCGUUAACCACUGCGCCACGACGGGAACUCCCUAGAACAUUUUCUUUUGAGAAAAAUAUUUUCACAAGAUUAAGUCCUUGCCAAAUUGGCUUUCUGAAUCAUUAAAAGGAUUUGGAUCCCAAAGGCCUGAGCCCAACCAGAUAAUGUACUUAGGUUGAGUCGUAGGUUCCUAUCUGUUUUUCCUCAAAUCCUUAUUUCAGGACAUGGGUCAUCUUUCUGCAUUGAUUGACAUACUCUAUCAUCAAACCAGAGAAUGGGCAUGAAUGAGCUUUGGACUUAAGAAUCAAAGAGGUUCCCAUUACCACUAUGAUUUUUUUUAAAACAUUUUAUUAAUGAUUUAAAUUUUUUUUUUCACUAUAGCUAGUUUACAGUGACCACUACAAUUCUUAAUUUGGGUAAUUGCCAAGAUCACCAGGUACUGAGGUCCCCUUAAUGCUUAUGAGAGAUGAAACUUUUGGUGUUGGAUUUAUAUGAUGGACUUAAUUCUAGUCUACAUUUAGGGCCAACCUCUUCUUGAAGAGGACACAUACCCUGAAGAACAGUCAUGUGAUGGUUGUCCAUGUGUGGAUCGAAACUCAUGCCUCCUCCUUCCCCAACCCGACAUGGGCCUGAGUUGUUUCUUUUGCUCUAUGUAGACCGUCUAUAAUUUUCACCCUUCAAAGCUGUGCUACCAGAAGAUGAUUUUAUAUAGGUUUGAGUUUUGCAUAAUAGCGACUUGUUAUUUUCCUAUUUUGAGUUGGUCCGUGAGGAUGACGUGCAGGGUAAUUCAUGUAGUCAGGGGACCCUGCCAUUAUUGUCAGUGGUAAGCAGCCUUGAAAUAGCCCUUAGACUUAAGAGCCUUCACACUGAGCAGAGGCCACCUCCUCCAUGGGCUCAGCUGGUACCCUCACUGCUACAUUUGACACCCCGAGGUCCAGCUACCUUGCUGGAGUGUGUGUGAGUCAGGAGCAGGGUCUCUAUCUUACUAUUAUAUUCCCAAGGUCCAACUCAGGGCUUGGCUGCUCUUACUGACUGAAUGAGGCCUAUAAAUAUACCUAGAAGUCAGUUGGGCCCAGUGUGGAGGGCAAGUGAUCUAGCAUCAGGUUUGAGGCUGAGCACUGCUGCCUGUCCAAGUCACUUAUUCUCUUAAAGCUGUGUUUUCCCAUCUGUGAAAUGUCGCUAUAAUCUACCUCAUUUGUUAUCAUUGUGGAGUGCUUAGUUCAUCAUCUUCUACUCAGAGUAAAUGGAUGUUAGUAGAAUUGUUAUUUAAUAGAUACACUGUGUCAUUUGAUCCUAACUACCAGCAGAUCCUCCCUCCCCAAUUCAGUUGCUUCCCCUGGUUGAAUAGGAGUUCAGAGGUAUUGCUGCACAAUUUGGCCAUCCCCAGUGGCAUCAAUGUGGCCACCGGGGGAAGGGGUGUGCCACCGAAUAUUUAGGUGCUCAUAUUAUCUAAGAUGCCAAAUGACCUAUUUACAGUGGUAACUGCACAGAGUGAUAGCCAGGCUACAUGAGCUUCCAUGCUAGUGUCAGCAUCCAGGGUUUUAUAUUUAGCAGGAUUUACAGGAAGUGCUAAUAUGAACAGGCUGGCCCAAGUCUGGAGGUCAUGGAAGCAAUCCAGAAAACAGAAAGAUACUCUCUCCCCAAAUUCUAAGGGAUAUGUUCCAACCUUCCAGGCAACAAUUCACCCUGCAAGUUUCGAUAUAGAGUAUCUCUUCAUUUAUUCUUCCUGGUAUCCUCAAUCCUUUCUGAAGGACACCAGCAUUGUUAGCUUGACAUAACGUUGGGGUUUGGAGUAUGCUCUCGUUAGCACUUGAAUAUGAAUUUUAUUUCUAAAUUUUUAAACUCCCCAAAUUACAGGAAAAGCUGUGAUUCCCAUAAAUUCAGUCUCUAGUGUAAAAGUGUACAUUCCUGAUGCAUGUAUUUUGGUGUUCUUUUCUUUUUUUCUUUAUUUUUUAAACUAAGAACUUGGGUGAUGUUCUAAAAGCAUUUGACGAUGGCCUCAUUUUGAAGAUGGUCAUGUAAAUUUUUUGCUGUCUAAAUAAUUUAAUCCUUCAGUUAGAGAAUAAGCUCUUGAGCAAUAUUAUUUUGGGGCCACAUAUGUAAAAUGUUUUUUUUUUUUUUUUUUUUUUUUUUUUUUUUACUGGGUGUUGUGAAUAUUCUUUUUGAAAAAUAGAUUCCCCAUCAAAAUAAGAACAUGUCAAUAUGGCCACAGUUUUAUAAUGUGAAAGAACACCCCUACAUGUAUAUGUAUGUACGUUCUUGUGUUCAUGCCUAUGGGCAGUAAAACCAGUUUUUUCUAGGUGUGUGGGUAUUUUGAUUUCCUGUGUGUUUUUCUGUAUUUCAAAAUGUCUGUAAUGAUUAAAUAGAAAAGCAAUAAUUACUGUAUCUAAAAAGAGAAGCUCUUCUAUUUUUUGAAUUUUUAUUUUAUUUUUAUGUUUUGUUUUUAGGGCUGCACCUGCAGCAUAUGGAGGUUCCCAGGCUAGGGGCUGAAUCAGAGCUAUGGCUGCCAGUCUAUACCACAGCCACAGCAAUGCAGGAUUCAAGCCGCGUCUGUGACCUACACCACAGCUCAUGGCAACGCUGGAUUCUUAACCCACUGAGCAAGGCCAGGGAUUGAACCUGCAACCUCAUGGUUACUAGUCGAAUUCGUUGCUGCUGCACCACAAUAGGAACUCCAAAGAGAAGCUCUUUUAAAGAAGCUCUGGCCAGGAAAAAAUAUGAUUAUAUUAUUUGGCCAGAUACUUCCAGAAUUAAGAAAUUAAAGAGAGAUUUUUAAGGCUGAAUUUACCAGAAAUGUAAUAACCUCAAAUGUAGUCUAUAAAUUUACAGUUCUAUUGACGGAGUGAGGAGAAAGAGUACAUCAUUAGCAACACUGUGGAUUUUUAUGUUUUUCUUUGUAAAUCAGAUUGAAAAGGAAGAGCAAGCCCACCCCUCGGAAGAAGUGAUGGAGGAGUUUCAGGUGAAUGGACGGCCUCAGCUCUCAGUCUCUCUGCUUCUGGACCCACAUGCCCUUGGACAGGUUAUCUGGCUUUGAAUAUGAUGCAGGGGCAGACACCUGCUGAUGCAGCAACUGCCAAUGCCCACAGUCUCCAUGUCAUGGGGGCUGCUGGGCAGCCAGCCUGGAGACGCAAUUGCUGAAGAGCCCCUCCAAGUCCAUGCCCCUCGAGGACCCUGGCCACUGAAGCUGAUCAUGAAAGAAGACUGAAUUCCAACAUGUUCCCUUCAGGGGCUGACCUUGACUUAGGGUUCCAUUGUGUGCCCAGCAGUGGCGGUGCAGGAGCCCCUCCUGGGCUAUUUUCUGUACUCAGCUCAGAGCUGAGGGAGAGGGUGGAGGGGAUCCAUCUUUCUUCAGGCUCCACUAUGGUCCAUUCCAGAAGUCAUUCAAACUUGUUUUAAGCUGGCUGAUUUGCUUAUUGGCUUCAAAAGUUGGAAUUGAAGGGUGAAGGAUGCAGGCAACAGAUCCUUCCCCCACUCCUCCUCCACCCCUCCGAUCCUUCUACUCAGGAGGCCCGGGGGGUGGGGGGAAGUGGAGCCAAACCCUAACCCAAAAGGUAUUGAGGCUCACUGUUCUUCCAGACUUAGUCUACUUUACUUGUGACUCAGAAGCCCUUUCCCUACCCAGCAAGACCACACUCUCUUGCUUCCUUCUCUUUUCUCUUUUUGUACCUGUAAACAAUAUAUUGUCGUAUCUAUUCAAUGCUUGUGCCCACCUCAGGGCUCUGUUCUUGCUGUUCAUUCUGCCUUGAUGUUCUGGCCCAAGAUCUUUGCUCUAAUGCCUUAAGCUCCAUUAUCAUCUCAGAGAGGCUUUCCUUGGAAAUUCAGUGUGGUUUCCAUAGCUACUCUCUAUCCCAUCACUCUAGCACUUAUCACCCUCUGGAAUUACCUUGUUCAUUUAUUUACUUAUUUAUUGCUUGGGUCCCCUCCUCUUCCUCAUGUAAACUUCAUGACUGCCAACACCUGUUUACUGCUACACUUUAAGUUCCCAGCACUAGUUAAGAGCUCAAUAAAUGCUUGUUGACC